UGGACCCUAACAAGUCCUUUAAA
rnacentral:tRNA from 1 species